rnacentral:rRNA from 1 species
UACGUAGGGCGCAAGCGUUGUCCGGAUUUAUUGGGCGUAAAGCGCGUGUAGGCGGCCUGACAGGUCUGCUGUGAAAACUCGAGGCUCAACCUCGAGAUGUCGGCGGAAACCGUCUGGCUAGAGUCCGGAAGAGGAGAGUGGAAUUCCUGGUGUAGCGGUGAAAUGCGCAGAUAUCAGGAAGAACACCUAUGGCGAAGGCAGCUCUCUGGGACGGUACUGACGCUGAGACGCGAAAGCGUGGGGAGCGAACAGG